rnacentral:misc_RNA from 1 species
AACGCACAUUGCGCCCGCCAGCACUCUGGCGGGCAUGCCUGUCCGAGCGUCAUUUACCACCCUCGGGCCCCCCAGGGGGCCCGGUGCUGGGGGCACGGCCGAGGCCGCCCCCUAAAUGCAGUGGCGACCCCGCCGCGUCCUCCCCUGCGCAGUAGCACAAUCUCGCACCGGAAGCGCGGAGGCGGUCACGCCUGGAAACGCCCCAACUCAACGCAGUUGACCUCGGAUCAGGUAGGAGUACCCGCUGAACUUAA